UACGUAGGGUGCGAGCGUUGUCCGGAAUUAUUGGGCGUAAAGGGCUCGUAGGCGGUUUGUCGCGUCGGGAGUGAAAACCUCGGGCUUAACUUGGGGCUUGCUUUCGAUACGGGCAGACUGGAGGUAUGCAGGGGAGAACGGAAUUCCUGGUGUAGCGGUGGAAAUGCGCAGAUAUCAGGAGGAACACCGGUGGCGAAGGCGGUUCUCUGGGCAUGACCUGACGCUGAGGCGCGAAAGCUGGGGGAGCAAACGGG
rnacentral:rRNA from 1 species